GAUGAACGCUAGCGGCAGGCCUAAUACAUGCAAGUCGAACGAGAUUAUCCAGCUUGCUGGAUAUGAAAGUGGCGCACGGGUGCGUAACGCGUAUGCAACCUACCUUAAUCAGGGGGAUAGCCUCUCGAAAGAGAGAUUAACACCGCAUAAAAUCACAGUCCGGCAUCGGAUAAUGAUCAAAUAUUUAUAGGAUUAAGAUG
rnacentral:rRNA from 1 species